rnacentral:rRNA from 1 species
ACGGGAGGCAGCAGUGGGGAAUAUUGGACAAUGGGGGAAACCCUGAUCCAGCGACGCCGCGUGAGUGAAGAAGUAUUUCGGUAUGUAAAGCUCUAUCAGCAGGGAAGAUAAUGACGGUACCUGACUAAGAAGCUCAGGCUAAAUACGUGCCAGCAGCCGCGGUAAUACGUAUGGAGCAAGCGUUAUCCGGAUUUACUGGGUGUAAAGGGUGUGUAGGCGGCAAGGCAAGUCAGAAGUGAAAUGCCGGGGCUCAACUCCGGAGCUGCUUUUGAAACUGCCAUGCUGGAGUCCAGGAGAGGCAGGCGGAAUUCCUAGUGUAGCGGUGAAAUGCGUAGAUAUUAGGAAGAACACCAGUGGCGAAGGCGGCCUGCUGGACUGGAACUGACGCUGAGGCACGAAAGCGUGGGGAGCAAACAGGAUUAGAUACCCUGGUA